rnacentral:rRNA from 1 species
UACGAAGGGGGCUAGCGUUGCUCGGAAUCACUGGGCGUAAAGCGCACGUAGGCGGCUUUCUAAGUCAGGGGUGAAAUCCUGGAGCUCAACUCCAGAACUGCCUUUGAUACUGGAGAGCUCGAGUCCGGAAGAGGUGAGUGGAACUGCGAGUGUAGAGGUGAAAUUCGUAGAUAUUCGCAAGAACACCAGUGGCGAAGGCGGCUCACUGGCCCGGUACUGACGCUGAGGCACGAAAGCGUGGGGAGCAAACAGG